UACGUAGGGGGCAAGCGUUGUCCGAAAUUACUGGGCGUAAAGGGCGCGUAGGCGGUAGCACAAGUCAGUUGUGAAAUCUCCGGGCUUAACUCGGAAAGGUCAACUGAUACUGUGCGACUAGAGUGCAGAAGGGGCAACUGGAAUUCUCGGUGUAGCGGUGAAAUGCGUAGAUAUCGAGAGGAACACCUGCGGCGAAGGCGGGUUGCUGGGCUGACACUGACGCUGAGGCGCGAAAGCCAGGGGAGCGAACGGG
rnacentral:rRNA from 1 species